rnacentral:rRNA from 1 species
GAUCAACGCUGGCGGCGUGCCUAAUACAUGCAAGUCGAGCGAACGGACGAGAAGCUUGCUUCUCUGAUGUUAGCGGCGGACGGGUGAGUAACACGUGGAUAACCUACCUAUAAGACUGGGAUAACUUCGGGAAACCGGAGCUAAUACCGGAUAAUAUUUUGAACCGCAUGGUUCAAAAGUGAAAGACGGUCUUGCUGUCACUUAUAGAUGGAUCCGCGCUGCAUUAGCUAGUUGGUAAGGUAACGGCUUACCAAGGCAACGAUGCAUAGCCGACCUGAGAGGGUGAUCGGCCACACUGGAACUGAGACACGGUCCAGACUCCUACGGGAGGCAGCGGUAGGGAAUCUUCCGCAAUGGGCGAAAGCCUGACGGAGCAACGCCGCGUGAGUGAUGAAGGUCUUCGGAUCGUAAAACUCUGUUAUUAGGGAAGAACAUAUGUGUAAGUAACUGUGCACAUCUUGACGGUACCUAAUCAGAAAGCCACGGCUAACUACGUG